rnacentral:miRNA from 1 species
AUGGGAAUUGUUGAUGUGG